ACGGGAGGCAGCAGUGGGGAAUAUUGCUCAAUGGGGGAAACCCUGAUGCAGCGACGCCGCGUGAGUGAAGAAGUAUUUCGGUAUGUAAAGCUCUAUCAGCAGGGAAGAUAAUGACGGUACCUGACUAAGAAGCACCGGCUAAAUACGUGCCAGCAGCCGCGGUAAUACGUAUGGUGCAAGCGUUAUCCGGAUUUACUGGGUGUAAAGGGUGCGUAGGCGGCAAGGCAAGUCUGAAGUGAAAGCUCGGGGCUCAACCCCGGAACUGCUUUGGAAACUGUUUAGCUAGAGUACAGGAGAGGUAAGUGGAAUUCCUAGUGUAGCGGUGAAAUGCGUAGAUAUUAGGAGGAACACCAGUGGCGAAGGCGACUUACUGGACUGACACUGACGCUGAGGCACGAAAGCGUGGGGAGCAAACAGGAUUAGAUACCCUGGUA
rnacentral:rRNA from 1 species